GCUGUGGUGGUGUAAUGGGUAGCACUUCUGUCCAGCAAGCAAAAAGACCCGGGUUCGAGUCCCGGCCAUAGCA